rnacentral:rRNA from 1 species
UAUCUCUGUAGAGUCUGCAUAUCAAUAAGCGGAGGAAAAGAAACUAACAAGGAUUCCCUUAGUAACGGCGAGUGAAGCGGGAAGAGCUCAAAUUUGAAAUCUUCAAGGUUCUACCUUGACGAAUUGUAGUUUAAAGAAGUGUUUUCUGUUAGUGGAGUGGCAAAAGUUCUUUGGAAUAGGACAUCAUAGAGGGUGAGAAUCCCGUAUUUGGUCAUUCCUUCUAGCUUUGUGAUACGCUUUCAAAGAGUCGGAUUGUUUGGGAAUGCAGUCCAAAAUGGGUGGUAAAUUUCAUCUAAAGCUAAAUAUUGGCGAGAGGCCGAUAGCGAACAAGUACCGUGAGGGAAAGAUGAAAAGAACUUUGAAAGGAGAGUUAAACAGUACGUGAAAUUGUCAAAAGGGAAGCGUUUGACACCAGUGUUGUUUUUCCGAAAAUCAAUUACGAAUGUUUUAUUUUUGAGGAGUUAUGACUUCAUCGGCUUGCUCCUUUCUUUAUGAACUUUCUUAAUGCACUUUUCGGCUAACAAGUCAACAUCAAUUUCUUUUGUUGUAAAAGGGUAUGAGGAAGGUGGCUUUCUUUUCGGAGAAAGUGUUUAUAGCCUUGUACCUCUGCAAUCGGAGAGAUUGAGGUCUGCAGCGUAGAUCCUUCGGGGUUAGAUACACUUGUGCUAAGUUAUAGCUUUUCAUAGACAACUUGUUGACUAUGAUUAGUCUUGUAGCUUACUCGCUUAUGCUAUUUUACCUACGCUUAGGAUGUUGAGUAGCGACAUACGCC